AAGGUCUUAGUUUAAACAAAACAUCUGGUUUGCAACUAGACAAUGCGAGUUAGUAUCUCGUAGAUCUUA
rnacentral:tRNA from 1 species